UGUUAUAGUCUCGCACCUCAACUUCCGUCAUAUUUUAUAAAUAGAAAUAGAAUAGGAGCACCUAACUACUCUCUUCUGUUGACGUUGCGAAUAAUUUAAGAAAAAAGAAAUGGCAUUUGAUAUGCCCUGCUUAACUUACAUGACCUUGUAUUUUAUAACGGUCCAUGUUCUGCAGACAAAUUCGCGAACAUCGACUCACUGGAAGUUGAACUUGGAAGAUGAUCGAAUUGUCGAUUCAACAGCAUCCCCCUCAUCUGAAGUCGAUCCGAUAAUGAGUAUUCUAACUAGUAAGAUUAUUGUGAACGACGAGGGUGAAUGGAGAUUAGUAGAGGAAGGUUCCUGUUCGGCUGAAAACUGCUUACAAUCAGAAGAGUCCAAUUACAGCUUAUCUGCUGAAAAAAAGAGUUCUAGUUCAAGUAAACAAAGAGAGGGUACAAAAAUAAAUGGCCAAGGUAAGAAGAAUAAAAAGCAAAAAAAGAAAACUUUAGACUGUGGGAAAGCUGUUAAUUCUACUCAUGUAGAUCAUCUCAGAGGGGUUGCUGGACGUCAUUCCCAUCCUCAUGUAGCUGAACCAGAAGUUGCGAUGAUUCUCCGCAAAAAAUCUGGCAAAGAAGUAAACUUGGAAGAAAUUGAGAGAAAGUUGAAAAAAUCCAUAAAAGAAAAGCCUAAUUCCGCAUCCAUUUAUAAUCAAAUUGGCAAUCUUUGGCGGGUAAAGGGUGAUACUUAUCUUGCUAUAGAAUGCUUUCGCAAAGCUUUAGCUCUGUCUCCUCGUCACUCGGACGCUCUGUUGAAUCUUGCCAGAGUUUUGUUUAAUCUACACUACUUAGAUGACGCUAUUCAAUUGACUAGGCAAUCCUUGGAUGCCGCACCACAGGACCAAAAUACUUGGUUACAGCAUUUUACAUUGGGUGAAAUUUUAAAAGCAUAUGGCCAUAAUGCCGAGGCUGCCCUACAUCUCAAGCACGCUUUAGAUUUGAAUCCAGGUUUCGGUCCAGCACAAGCUCAUUUAAAAGAAUUGAACGCCGGAUCGGACGCAACAGUUACUUAUUAUACUUUAUUUAUCAUCUUGUUUUUAGUUUUGGGCGUCCUAUGUGGUAUUCUCACGUCAAUCGACUCAGGAUUGGACGAUUCGAACGACGCUGUUAAAACUCAGAGGCAUUUCAAUCGCGCAAUGGCGAUGAGAUCUAUCAAGCUCGGUAUUAAUCCUAAGUUAAUCAAGAUGAGAAAACAAUGUACAUGUUAAGAAAAGAUGUUAGUGGUAAAGAAGAAAAAUAAAACAAAUAUUUGUUCUUCAAUUCUCAAAAAUUUUCGAAAAAUGCAGAUUACGAGAUAGACGGCGGACUCUAUUGUACCGCAUCGUCUUUUUUAUUAUAUUUUUCCAGAGUGACCAUUUCUUAAAAACAGAUUAAAAAUUAUGCAACAGGUGUUCGAACAAAGUUGCCGCUAUAGAAUACUAACAGCAGGUUUAUAUUUCUUUUAGCUCAUUUUUUUAAUGAGCGUUUUAUAACUCUCUUAUAUUUUUUUUGAUACCUGUUAUUUUUCCCUAUUAAGAUUUAUAUACAGUAUAGAAAAAAAAUUGAUUAUUCAGGAAGAUAAAGAAUUUUUUAGUUUUGUUUUUUCUAUUCAUUAAAAACCCCAAAUUUAGUAUUUCAAUCUUAAUUCUCUAAUCGAAAUUUUUUGAUAAAUUCCCAUUAUGUAUAAUACUUGGCAUGCUUGAGGGUGUUCAUAUAAAAACAACAGCUGGAAUUCAUCCUCUUUUUUAUUGAAUGAUGAUCUCUCCUUUAUUGCCUUUCAUAUUUAUUUAAAUAAUGGUAAUUUUCUGUUAUUUGGAUAAACAGAUACUAAUCUCUUGUUUUUAUACUAUCAACUAGACAUUUUAUAAUCGUAAGUAAAACUCUUGCUGCCAUUAUCACGACGUUUAUUACUUCAUUUUCCAUUAGUAAAGCAAAAAAAGCAACUAAUCUUAGACAUAACAUAAUUAUAAAUAAUUGGCCAAAUCAAGCUAAGUGGUACAAAAUAAAUAAACCACCAGAAACGAAUAUCGCCUCGGUAAAGUUUAAUAUCUUUAUGAAACUGAGAGAAAUUAGAUAUGAU
rnacentral:misc_RNA from 1 species